rnacentral:lncRNA from 1 species
UGCCUUAUCUCCUAUAAUCUAGAGGGGUCAAUCCUAUUUUGAUUCAUAUACAGACUUUGCAAGUACGUGACUGUACCUAGUAGCCUUUCAUCAUUGCAUUAAAAAUGCAGAUAGUCUGACAUCAAAGCACAAUGGCUGCUUGCAAGCCACUAUGGUGAUCUCAGGUCUGAGGGAUACUUAUACCUAUAUCCUUUGUAAGCUAUCC